AGAGUUUGAUCCUGGCUCAGGAUGAACGCUAGCGACAGGCUUAACACAUGCAAGUCGAGGGGCAGCGGUGGAGAGAGCUUGCUCUCUUCAGCCGGCGACCGGCGCACGGGUGAGUAACACGUAUGCAACCUGCCCUUGACACUGGGAUAACCCGGAGAAAUCCGGACUAAUACCGGGCGACACCUUCGGAGGACAUCCUCCUUAGGUCGAAGGAAGCGAUUCCGGUCAAGGAUGGGCAUGCGGCGCAUUAGCUAGUUGGCGGGGUAACGGCCCACCAAGGCGACGAUGCGUAGGGGUUCUGAGAGGAAGGUCCCCCACAUUGGUACUGAGACACGGACCAAACUCCUACGGGAGGCAGCAGUGAGGAAUAUUGGUCAAUGGGCGCGAGCCUGAACCAGCCAAGUCGCGUGAGGGAAGACGGCCCUACGGGUUGUAAACCUCUUUUGUCGGGGAGCAAGGACUGCCACGAGUGGCAGGGCGAGAGUACCCGAAGAAAAAGCAUCGGCUAACUCCGUGCCAGCAGCCGCGGUAAUACGGAGGAUGCGAGCGUUAUCCGGAUUUAUUGGGUUUAAAGGGUGCGUAGGCGGAAGUUCAAGUCAGCGGUAAAAUCGAGGGGCUCAACCCCUUUAAGCCGUUGAAACUGGGUUUCUUGAGUGGGCGAGAAGUGUGCGGAAUGUGUGGUGUAGCGGUGAAAUGCAUAGAUAUCACACAGAACUCCGAUUGCGAAGGCAGCACACCGGCGCCCAACUGACGCUGAGGCACGAAAGCGUGGGGAUCAAACAGGAUUAGAUACCCUGGUAGUCCACGCAGUAAACGAUGAACACUAGGUGUGCGGGUCGAAUGAGAUCUGCGUGCCACAGCGAAAGCGUUAAGUGUUCCACCUGGGGAGUACGCCGGCAACGGUGAAACUCAAAGGAAUUGACGGGGGCCCGCACAAGCGGAGGAACAUGUG
rnacentral:rRNA from 1 species